CCCUGGUGGCGAGCGGCGGACGGGUGAGUAAUGCAUAGGAAUCUGCCCGGUAGUGGGGGAUAACCUGGGGAAACCCAGGCUAAUACCGCAUACGUCCUACGGGAGAAAGCAGGGGAUCUUCGGACCUUGCGCUAUCGGAUGAGCCUAUGUCGGAUUAGCUGGUUGGUGAGGUAAUGGCUCACCAAGGCGACGAUCCGUAGCUGGUCUGAGAGGAUGAUCAGCCACACUGGGACUGAGACACGGCCCAGACUCCUACGGGAGGCAGCAGUGGGGAAUAUUGGACAAUGGGCGCAAGCCUGAUCCAGCCAUGCCGCGUGUGUGAAGAAGGCCCUCGGGUUGUAAAGCACUUUCAGCGAGGAAGAAGGCUUGGCGGUCAAUACCCGUCAAGAAGGACAUCACUCGCAGAAGAAGCACCGGCUAACUCCGUGCCAGCAGCCGCGGUAAUACGGAGGGUGCGAGCGUUAAUCGGAAUUACUGGGCGUAAAGCGCGCGUAGGUGGUUUGGCACGCCGGUUGUGAAAGCCCCGGGCUCAACCUGGGAACGGCAUCCGGAACGGCCAGACUAGAGUGCAGGAGAGGAAGGUAGAAUUCCCGGUGUAGCGGUGAAAUGCGUAGAGAUCGGGAGGAAUACCAGUGGCGAAGGCGGCCUUCUGGCCUGACACUGACACUGAGGUGCGAAAGCGUGGGUAGCAAACAGGAUUAGAUACCCUGGUAGUCCACGCCGUAAACGAUGUCG
rnacentral:rRNA from 1 species